GUACAGCAAAACCUCCAUCGCCGUGUGCUCUCCAUCCUGCCACAGUACGAUGAAAUCGAUCAGCACGACGGUACAGCUGUACAUCAAGUGCUCGCACUUGUUGGACAAGGAUACAACCUCAAAGUCCGAUCCGUACGUUACUGUGUUCGACACCACGGAUGGCGGCAAAGUCUGCGUGGGACGCACCGAAGUAAUCAAGAAUAAUCUCAAUCCUGAGUUCCAUACGUGCAUUUCUGUGACCUACUUCUUCGAAAUUCGCCAGAUCAUGCGCGUCGAGGUGUGGGACAGCGACAAGGACAAGCCCGAUGAUCUGCUAGGCGUUGCGGAGUUCGCGUUGGGGCGUCUGCUGUCAUCGCGUGGCUCUACACUGACGCUCAGCCUCGGCGGCAAGAGCACCGUGACGCUGACUGCGUCGUAUGUCGGGUCGCAGCGCGGCACCAUUGGCGUGACUUUCCGCGGCCGCAGCCUAAAGAAGAUGGACCUGUUCGGCAAGUCCGACCCGUACUUCGUUCUGAGCCGCCUUCUGCCCAGCGGCCAGCGGGUCACCGUCUACAAGAGCGAAGUGGUCAAGAACACGCUAAACCCGCAGUGGAGGCCGACGCGGACGAUCGACCUGGUGGAGCUGUGCGGUGGCGACUUUGUCUCCCCGUGCAUCCACUUCGAGUGCUUCGACCAAGACCCCGGUGAGGACGAGUCGAUAGGGAGUUUUGUGAUCACUGGUGUGGAGCUGCUGGCUGCGUCUGGGAAGGAAUUCGAGCUGGUGGUGGAGAGGAAGGGGAAGCGGAAGUCGCACGGGUUUAUCGCGGUGACCCGGUGCGACUACGUGAGGAGCUACGACUUUCUCGAGUACUUGCAAGCUGGCAUGGCGCUUAACAUCGCCUUCUCAAUCGACUUUACCGGCUCGAACGGACCGCCAAGCGACCCGCGCUCGCUGCACUUCUACAACCCGCACCACCCGAACAGCUACAUCCGAGCCAUGCUGGCUGUGAGCACGGUUGUGCAGGAGUACGACAGCGACCGAAUGUUUCCCGUGUACGGGUUCGGCGCGGUGGCGCCCUUCACGAACGGCACGAGCCACUUCUUCCCGCUGAGCGGCAACCCCUCGAACGCGUACCUGAAUGGCAUGCAGGCGGUCGUGGACACCUACGCCGGGCUACUGCCCACGCUCCAGUUCAGCGGGCCGACGAACUUUGCGCCGACGAUCCGGACGAUCACUGACGGAGCGCGGCGGAUGCGCGGCGUGUACACGAUCCUGCUGAUUCUGACGGACGGCACGAUCACCGAUAUGCACGAUACGAUCGACGCUAUUGUUGCCGCCGACGACGCGCCGCUGUCGAUUGUGAUCAUCGGCGUUGGCCGCGCCGACUUCAGCGCGAUGGUGCAGCUGGACGGAGAUGGUGGCGUUCUUCGAGAUCGCAGCAACCGACCAGCGCGUCGCGACUUGGUGCAGUUUGUGUCGUUCAGUGAGUUUGAGGGGAAGAACCCUGCAAUGCUUGCAGCCGCGGUGUUGCUGGAGAUUCCGAAGCAGGUGGAGAUGUGGGGGCGCAUCGUGCACGCUACCCCGGGUCACUUCUAAAACGUUCCGAGUGCAACUCCCUCUUUUCGUUUUCCGUGUAGCGCACUUCCCUUUUUUUUUUCGCAUAUUUGUGUUGCUUCUGUUCAGUGUCUCGAUAUUGUUUUCCUUGAGUCGCCUCCUUCUCUUAUCACUGCACCUGCUGGGUUUUCUCUCUCUGCGCGCGCGUGCCUGUACCUGCUGCGCGCGUGGCACCUCAGAUCUCUGUUCUCUCUACUUUUUUUUGUAGGUGCACUUGUGCAUUGGUGUGCCUGUGUGCCUGCGUGCGUGUUGCGUGCGUGCAUGUGCAUAUAUUGGGCUUGUCUUUGUUGCUCAUGCCAUCG
rnacentral:misc_RNA from 1 species